AACGAACGCUGGCGGCAGGCCUAACACAUGCAAGUCGAGCGAAGCCUUCGGGCUUAGCGGCGGACGGGUGAGUAACGCGUGGGAACGUGCCCUUUGGUACGGAAUAGCCCCGGGAAACUGGGAGUAAUACCGUAUGUGGUCGAGAGACGAAAGAUUUAUCGCCAAAGGAUCGGCCCGCGUUGGAUUAGGUAGUUGGUGGGGUAAUGGCCUACCAAGCCGACGAUCCGUAUCUGGUCUGAGAGGGUGAUCAGCCACACUGGGACUGAGACACGGCCCAGACUCCUACGGGAGGCAGUAGUGGGGAAUCUUAGACAAUGGGGGAAACCCUGGGCUAGCCAUGCCGCGUGAUCGAUGAAGGCCUAAGGGUUGUAAAGCGCUUGCAGGGGGGAAGAUAAUGACUGUACCCACAGAAGAAGCCCCGGCUAACUCCGUGCCAGCCGCCGCCGUAAUAC
rnacentral:rRNA from 1 species